GAUGAAGAACGUAGCGAAAUGCGAUAAGUAGUGUGAAUUGCAGAAUUCAGUGAAUCAUCGAAUCUUUGAACGCACAUUGCGCCCCUUGGUAUUCCAUGGGGCAUGCCUGUUCGAGCGUCAUUUGUACUCUCAAGCUCUGCUUGGUGCUGGGUGUUUGUCCCGCGUUGCGUGUGGACUCGCCUUAAAGCAAUUGGCAGCCGGCAUAUUGGCCUUGGAACGCAGCACAUUUUGCGAUCCUAGUCAUACUUGUUGGCAUCCAUCAAGCCUAUACAUUAACGCUUGACCUCGGAUCAGGUAGGGAUACCCGCUGAACUUAAGCAUAUCAAUAAGCGGAGGA
rnacentral:misc_RNA from 1 species